AUACGGAGGAUCCGAGCGUUAUCCGGAUUUAUUGGGUUUAAAGGGUGCGCAGGCGGGAUGUUAAGUCGGCGGUGAAAUUUUGCAGCUCAACUGUAAAAGUGCCUUCGAUACUGGCUUCCUUGAGUGUAGAUGAAGUAGGCGGAAUUUUGUGGUGUAGCGGUGAAAUGCUUAGAUAUCACGAGGAACUCCGAUUGCGCAGGCAGCUUACUAAACUACAACUGACGCUCAUGCACGAAGGCGGUGGGGAUAC
rnacentral:rRNA from 1 species